GACGAACGCUGGCGGCGUGCUUAACACAUGCAAGUCGAGCGGUAAGGCCCUUUCGGGGGUACACGAGCGGCGAACGGGUGAGUAACACGUGGGUGACCUGCCCUCAGCUCUGGGAUAAGACCUGGGAAACCGGGUCUAAUACUGGAUAUGACUCCAUGACGCAUGUUGUGGGGUGGAAAGCCUUGUGCGGCUGAGGAUGGGCCCGCGGCCUAUCAGCUU
rnacentral:rRNA from 1 species